UUAAUACUUUUAGUUGUUUCAGUUUUUGUGUUUCUUCAUGUGAAACCUGCUGGAGUUUGUUUUUUUCCUUUCUGUUGACUCUGAACAAGGAUUUGCCUUCUUGGACGUGUCUACGCUGCUGCUGCUGCUGCUGCUGAUGUCAUCGCGCUAAAAUAACAACACCACCUUGAUCACAUCAAACUCAAAUCCCAAGGAGUGAGGAUGAAAGGGAAGGUGGAUGAGACCAGAGUGGGAUGGUGGAGGAGGAUCGUGAAGAGGAGAAGCUGAGGAACGUGUGGAGCAGCACAGUACAUCGCCACGCAGAGCAGGAGGGAUGAAGUGAUAUUUCUGGAUGUUUCAAGUGGUUCUGACACUAAACAAAAGGAAACUGAAGUUUGUGAACCCACUUAAUCUC